rnacentral:rRNA from 1 species
UUUGAUCCUGGCUCAGAUUGAACGCCGGCGGCAGGCCUAACACAUGCAAGUCGAGCGGUAGAGAGAAGCUUGCUUCUCUUGAGAGCGGCGGACGGGUGAGUAAUGCCUAGGAAUCUGCCUGGUAGGGGGGGAUAACGUUCGGUAACGGACGCUAAUACCGCAUACGUCCUACGGGAGAAAGCAGGGGACCUUCGGGCCUUGCGCUAUCAGAUGAGCCUAGGUCGGAUUAGCUAGUUGGUGAGGUAAUGGCUCACCAAGGCGACGAUCCGUAACUGGUCUGAGAGGAUGAUCAGUCACACUGGAACUGAGACACGGUCCAGACUCCUACGGGAGGCAGCAGUGGGGAAUAUUGGACAAUGGGCGAAAGCCUGAUCCAGCCAUGCCGCGUGUGUGAAGAAGGUCUUCGGAUCGUAAAGCACUUCAAGUUGGGAGGAAGGGUUGUAGAUUAAUACUCUGCAAUUUUGACGUUACCGACAGAAUAAGCACCGGCUAACUCUGUGCCAGCAGCCGCGGUAAUACAGAGGGUGCAAGCGUUAAUCGGAAUUACUGGGCGUAAAGCGCGCGUAGGUGGUUUGUUGAGUUGGAUGUGAAAUCCCCGGGCUCAACCUGGGAACUGCAUACAAAACUGACUGACUAGAGUAUGGUAGAGGGUGGUGGAAUUUCCUGUGUAGCGGUGAAAUGCGUAGAUAUAGGAAGGAGCACCAGUGGCGAAGGCGACCACCUGGACUAAUACUGACACUGAGGUGCGAAAGCGUGGGGAGCAAACAGGAUUAGAUACCCU